rnacentral:rRNA from 4 species
UCAUUCUAGAUACACUUUCCAGUACAUCUACUAUGUUACGACUUAUCUUACCUUAAUAAUAAGAGCGACGGGCGAUGUGUACAUAUUUUAGAGCUAAAAUCAAAUUAUUAAUCUUUAUAAUUUUACAACCAAAUCCACCUUCAAAAAUUUUUUCAUAAUUUUAUCCGUUUAAAUAAAUUUAUUGUAACCCAUUAUUACUUAAAUAUAAGCUACACCUUGAUCUGAUAUAAAUUUUAAUUAAAAUUAUUGAAUAUUAUUAUUCUUAUAAAAUAUUCUGAUAACGACGGUAUAUAAACUGAUUACAAACUUAAGUAAGGUCCAUCGUGGAUUAUCGAUUAAAAAACAGGUUCCUCUGGAUAGACUAAAAUACCGCCAAAUUUUUUAAGUUUCAAGAACAUAUCUAUUACUACUUAAAUAUU